UCCCGCACCGCGAUCAAGUCCGGCACAUUCGGAUCGGCUGCUGGCGCGUUCGCCCGUUGAAAACUCGGCUCGGCCUGUCGCCGCGAGAUGCGAUGUGUUUUUGUUUGCGAUCGAGAUUAGACGGUUUUAACGGGAACACAUAGUGGUUUUGUCGGUUCCAAAUCAGAUUUCGAAAUGAAAUCCGAGGCUUGUAACGUCUCGGGAAUCGUAUGCGUUGAGUGAUUCGUAUAAGAGAGCUGUUGUAAUUGUGUGACUCGCGUAACGAGAUGGUUGUACUUUGCUUUAGUUUGAACAACAGGAAGACAAUUAAAAGAGACAAUUGUAUACAAAACGAUAUAGAUUGUAACUUCCGAAGAAAGAUAAGGUAAGACUGUAAGACUUUAGUGCGCACACAAGUGUGAUACCGCGUAUGCGCAUUCGAUUGUGUUGUACGCGUAGAAUGCAACAGGUGAGAUCAGCUGGCGUCGUUAUCGUUUUACGUUCGGUGAACUCUCUUAAUCUGCCACACGUUUGCAAAACUUACGCACUUGAAUACGCUGUUGUUCACGUUAACUCGGCCAUUCAAGAGAUAUUCAGUUAUAAGAUUCAGAUCCGUUCGGAUGUCUGCACCGUCUCCGGGGGAAAAAAAAGUGUGUGUAUUUAAUCCGCUUUUAUACCAGCGAGCUUUUAUACACUCGCGGUUAAGGAGCGGAUUGACUGGCGCAACAGCUGUUUUCGCUAAUCCUAGUCAAAGUCUACUUUCACUAAAACACCAAAUUGAUUCAUAUAUGAUCUCUUUAUUUCUCAACUUGGCAAUAUAUCUCGUAUAAAAAAAAACACAUAUCUUUCAUACUAUAUUACAUACAGGGUAGAGAGUUUUUAUA